rnacentral:rRNA from 1 species
UACGUAGGUGGCAAGCGUUGUCCGGAUUUAUUGGGUUUAAAGCGUGCGCAGGCGGUUUUGUAAGCCAGAUGUGAAAGCCCCGGGCUUAACCAGGGAAUGGCAUUUGGGACUGCAAGGCUGGAGUACGGCAGAGGGAGGUGGAAUUCCAGGUGUAGCAGUGAAAUGCGUAGAUAUCUGGAGGAACACCGAUGGCGAAGGCAGCCCCCUGGGUCAAGAUUGACGCUCAUGCACGAAAGCGUGGGGAGCAAACAGG